rnacentral:rRNA from 1 species
AGGGAAGAGCCCAGCACCGAAGCCUGUGGUUGUUUGAUCACUAGGCAAUGUGGUGUUUAGGUUUGCUCUACGGAACCACUGCUCUGCUCUAAAUCCAGUUAUGAAUACGGUUAAUGGACAUGGCCCAUAGAGGGUGAAAGGCCCGUGUGAGUAGAGUCCAUGGUGGUUUCCCUGACAAACCUUGGAGUCGGGUUGUUUGAGAAUGCAGCCCAAAGUGGGUGGUAAACUCCAUCCAAGGCUCAAUACUGGCACGAGUCCGAUAGCGAACAAGUACCGUGAGGGAAAGUUGAAAAGUACUCUGAAGAGAGAGUAAACAGUACGUGAAACCGCACAGAGGUAAACGGGUAGAGUUGAACUGCAAGCCUGGAAGAUUCAGCAGAUGAGUAUGGUUGUGCCUGGCGCAGAGGUCUGCUUAGUUGCGGGUUAUUGCUUUCGGGUGGUAACUGGCGAUGCACUUGUCAUGUGUUGCCUGCCUUUGUGUUGCUGGUCGGCUCGUUUGUGCACUUCUUUCAGGUGUUCAUCACGACCGGCGCUGCUGUCUGUCCGCUAUGUUCAAACCAGUUGGGUGUUGUCUUUUGACUUUGUCCUAUUGGCGUGGCAGGUAGCCUGUUGGUCUUCGGGCCUCCGGGUGUAAUAGCUGGAUAUAGUGGAUCUGUGCAGUGCGUCGGAGACGGCGGCUUGGUGGUGUCGAAUGCUGUCAGUUGCGCGGUCAAUUUCUGCCUUAUGGUGGAGUUUGCCUUGUGUGAUCGGCGGUUCUUUGUGCUACUUUUUGGCCCAUAGUCUGUGAUGUAGUGGUAAACUCUCUACCCGACCCGUCUUGAAACACGGACCAAGGAGUUUAACAUGUGCGCGAGUCAUUGGGCUAAACGAAACCCACAGGCGAAAUGAAAGUAAAGGUCUGGCUUGUCUAGACUGAGGUGAGAUCCGGUCACUCCAGUGCCUUAUGGCGUUUGGGUGGCUGGCGCAUCACCGGCCCGUCCCAUGGUGUGGUCAUGGUUCCUUGUGAGCUAUGCGUCAUCGGGGUGGAGCAUGAGCGUACAUGUUGAGACCCGAAAGAUGGUGAACUAUGCUUGUGCAGGUUGAAGCCAGAGGAAACUCUGGUGGAGGACCGCAGCGAUUCUGACGUGCAAAUCGAUCGUCAAACA